GAAAGGCAACAAAGAGCAGCUUUCACUUGAUCUUGAAGUUGAUCUUUGGAAUGCGAAGGGAUGGUUCACAAAGUUAUACACUGUUGGUGAUGGAUUGAGCAACACAGGACUGUGUUGCAUUCGUAGCAACCUUUGCUGAGUAUUUCAUAAUGGAAAAAUCUUUUCCAGCUCCAAAAAAGGUUUUGAUGGCCAAAUGAUUCAUUCAAGAUAUGCAAUUUAUUAUGGGAGUAUACAAUGGCCAAAAAAAAUUUAGGUGGUGCAAUUAGUGAAUCGGAGAUAACUAGCAGAAUUUAUGAUCGAAAUGAUUAAGAAAAAAAUGAUGAAAAGAUCAAAAAGAGAAAGAAAAAGUAGAAAA